rnacentral:rRNA from 1 species
ACUCCUACGGGAGGCAGCAGUGAGGAAUAUUGGACAAUGGGUGGAAGCCUGAUCCAGCCAUCCCGCGUGCAGGAAGACGGCCCUAUGGGUUGUAAACUGCUUUUAUCUGGGGAUAAACCUACUUACGUGUAAGUAGCUGAAGGUACCAGAAGAAUAAGCACCGGCUAACUCCGUGCCAGCAGCCGCGGUAAUACGGAGGGUGCAAGCGUUAUCCGGAUUUAUUGGGUUUAAAGGGUCCGUAGGCGGACUGAUAAGUCAGUGGUGAAAUCCGACAGCUUAACUGUCGAACUGCCAUUGAUACUGUUAGUCUUGAGUAAGGUUGAAGUGGCUGGAAUAAGUAGUGUAGCGGUGGAAUGCAUAGAUAUUACUUAGAACACCAAUUGCGAAGGCAGGUCACUAAGUCUUAACUGACGCUGAUGGACGAAAGCGUGGGGAGCGAACAGGGUUAGAUACCCUAGUAGUCCCA